AAUCGAAAGGCGCAGAGAAAGGAUAGCGAAAACUAGAUAGAAAGAAUUUAGAAACUGAGAGAGAGAGAGAGAGAGAGAGAGAGAGAGAGAGACAGUCUCUCUUCUUUCAAAUGGAGUCCACACUAUCUGCAACAACCACGACGAUAGCGCUUUUCACUGUCUCCAAGGCCCUAAACCGCAAGCUCUGCCGAACACCACUGAGUCAAUGCCUCUCGAGUCAACUCUUGACUCGCCGAUUCCGAUGCAUUUCCACCCAUUACCACCACGGCAAUCCUUUCGCUUUCUCUUCUUCUUCGCUGAUGAAACUGUGUGCUGCUUCAGUGCCUCCAGUGCGGCGCCGUUUGGAGUGCGUUGCUAGCUCCGCUGCUUCGUUCGCCUCUGGCGGUGGAGGCGGCGGUGGCGGGGUUGGCGGAGAGAGCAGUGGCGGUGGAGGUGGAGGUGGAUCGGACGGUGGAGAUGCGAAGGCGAAUUUGGUUGCCAGUGGAGCCCAGGAGGUCUCCGCGUUGCCGUCUGAUGUGAUUGUACUCGAUGUUGGAGGAAUGACAUGUGGAGGAUGUGCAGCUAGUGUGAAAAGAAUUCUAGAAAGUCAGCCACAAGUGUCAUCUGCUAGUGUGAAUCUGACAACAGAGACAGCUGUAGUAUGGCCUGUAUCUGAAGCCAAGGUUACAGCGAACUGGCAACAACAGUUAGGAGAGGCACUAGCAAAGCAUUUGACUACCUGUGGUUUUAAUUCUAACCUUCGAGAUUCAGGAAGAGACAAUUUCUUCAAAGUUUUUGAAAGGAAAAUGGAAGAGAAGCGUAGUCGUUUGGAAGAAAGCGGUCGUAAUCUUGCCGUUUCCUGGGCUUUAUGUGCUGUCUGCCUCUUUGGUCAUCUCUCUCAUUUCUUUGGAGCUAAUGCUUCAUGGAUCCAUGCAUUUCACUCCACUGGAUUCCAUCUUUCCUUGUCUUUAUUUACAUUGCUUGGUCCUGGGCAUCAACUGAUCCUUGAUGGUGUGAGAAGCCUUCUCAAAGGGGCUCCAAACAUGAACACAUUAGUUGGUCUUGGGGCUCUAUCGUCAUUUACAGUCAGUUCAUUAGCUGCCUUGAUACCGAAACUGGGUUGGAAGGCUUUUUUUGAGGAACCGAUAAUGUUAAUAGCAUUUGUCUUGUUAGGAAGAAAUCUUGAACAGAGAGCUAAAAUCAAAGCAACCAGUGAUAUGACUGGACUUCUCAGUAUUUUACCAUCAAAAGCUCGGCUUUUGGUCAAUGAUGAUGCAAAAGAGUUGGGUUUAAUGGUUGAAGUUCCUUGUAGCAGUCUUUCUGUUGGAGAUCAAAUUAUUGUACUUCCUGGAGAUCGUGUUCCAGCAGAUGGAAUUGUCAGAGCUGGUAGAAGUACCGUUGAUGAGUCUAGUUUCACAGGAGAGCCACUGCCAGUGACCAAAUUACCUGGGAGUCAAGUUUCAGCUGGAAGCAUAAAUCUUAAUGGAACCCUUACAGUUGAAGUGCGGAGACCAGGGGGUGAGACUGCUAUGGGAGACAUUUUCCGUUUGGUGGAAGAAGCACAAAGUAGGGAAGCUCCUGUACAGCGGUUGGCUGACAAGGUGUCUGGGCACUUUACAUAUGGAGUAAUGGCACUUUCUGCUGCUACGUUUAUGUUUUGGAGUCUGUUUGGUGCACGUAUUCUACCUGGUGCUUUGUAUCAAGGAAGUUCGGUCUCAUUGGCACUGCAGCUCUCUUGCAGUGUUCUGGUGGUUGCUUGCCCAUGUGCGUUAGGCUUAGCCACACCAACUGCUGUGCUGGUUGGAACUUCAUUAGGGGCAACAAGAGGACUGCUGUGGCGUGGUGGAAGUAUCUUAGAGAAGUUUGCAAUGGUGAACACUAUUGUAUUUGACAAAACGGGGACUCUUACAAUUGGCAGGCCUGUUGUGACAAAGGUUGUGACUCCUGGAUGCAUGAGAAGUACAGAUUCAAAAGAAAAUGCCCAUCAUACAUGGUCUGAAGUUGAGGUUCUCAAGUUAGCUGCUGGAGUGGAGACAAAUACAGUUCAUCCGGUUGGGAAAGCAAUUGUGGAAGCUGCUCGGGCUGUUGAUUGUCAGAAUGCAAAGGUGGUGGAUGGAACAUUCAUUGAAGAACCUGGGUCUGGUACUGUAGGAAUCAUUGAGAACAAAAAGGUCUCUGUUGGCACAUUGGACUGGAUUCAAAGGCAUGGAGUUAAUGAGAAUCCAUUUCAAGAAGUGGAGGAUGUUAAGAAUCAGUCUGUCGUCUAUGUUGGAGUAGAUAAUGCACUUGCUGGUAUUAUUUAUUUUGAGGAUCAAAUAAGGGAAGAUGCUGGAUAUGUCGUUGAAUCUUUGACUAGGCAGGGAAUUAACAUAUAUAUGCUGUCUGGGGACAAGAGAAGUACUGCUGAGCAUGUUGGGUCCGUUGUUGGUAUUCCAAAAGAAAAGGUUCUCUCUGGAGUUAAACCCGAUGAGAAGAAGAAAUUCAUAAGCAAACUUCAGAAGGAUCAGAAUGUUGUAGCCAUGGUUGGUGAUGGAAUUAAUGAUGCUGCAGCCUUGGCUUCAUCAGACGUUGGAAUUGCUAUGGGCGGGGGUGUAGGAGCUGCUAGUGAGGUGUCUUCUAUUGUGCUGAUGGGCAACAGGCUCUCGCAGUUGCUUGAUGCUUUGGAGCUUAGCAGGCUAACGAUGAAGACUGUCAAGCAAAAUCUCUGGUGGGCUUUCGCAUACAACAUAGUUGGAAUUCCAAUUGCUGCUGGAAUGUUGCUGCCAGUAACUGGGACCAUGUUGACUCCAUCAAUUGCUGGAGCCCUCAUGGGUUUGAGUUCUAUUGGUGUGAUGGCCAAUUCAUUGCUUUUGAGAUUCAAGUUUUCCUCAAAACAAAAGCAGAUAAAUGGUUCCUAUGCAAAUGCCAAAAGUCAAUUUGGACCCUGAUCUUGUGGACCAAAAGGACAAAUUAGAGCACCAUUGUUCUGAUGCCAGAUGGAGAAAACAUAAUCAGAAAAACAUAGCUAAUGGAGAGCCGCAUAACAAAGGAGAAUGAGAUAUUCUAACCUUUACCCUAACAGAAAAUUUUGAAGGAAGAAAUGAAACCAUGAUUUUCUACAGAUUCCUUUUAAAUUUUGGAGGAAUGAAAGUUUAACCUUAUUGCUUCUGAGAAUAUAAACAUCAAUGUCUUAAGAGGAUUGUAAGUGUUGAAUUCAAUUGCUAUAGAGGUGGAACUAAUGACGGCUUGCUUUGGAACGACGAAAUCCUGACUGAGGUCUACUUUUUAUCCAACUAUUCUCCUGGAAGAUUGAUGACUGAUAACUAUGCUUUUGGUGGUUACAAGUCUCUUCAACUCCCUCAGCACACAAUUUCCUCCAGAGGAAGGUCUGAAGAGAUUCUUAUAUAAAAAGUGGUUUUUUUUCGUCAUUAAGAAUAAUGGAUAAACUAAAAACCUUGUGGAUCAACUAGUAAGCACUUCCUUAUAUUUUCAACUGUUUAAGUUGUGUGAUUGUGAGAGCAAAUAUGAAGGUUUAUGUGAUUUGACCUGAUGACUUAUAUUCACGAUGUGAAAGUUCUUGAACA